rnacentral:rRNA from 1 species
CAGCAGCCGCGGUAAUACGUAGGUGGCAAGCGUUGUCCGGAAUUAUUGGGCGUAAAGCGCACGUAGGCGGCUUUGUAAGUUAGAGGUGAAAGCCUGGGGCUCAACUCCAGAAUUGCCUUUAAGACUGCAUCGCUUGAACGUCGGAGAGGUGAGUGGAAUUCCGAGUGUAGAGGUGAAAUUCGUAGAUAUUCGCAAGAACACCAGUGGCGAAGGCGGCUCACUGGCCCAUAACUGACGCUGAGGCACGAAAGCGUGGGGAGCAAACAGGAUUAGAUACCCGCGUAGUCCCUGUCCCUUAUAC